rnacentral:rRNA from 1 species
GACGAACGCUGGCGGCGUGCUUAACACAUGCAAGUCGAACGGAAAGGCCCUGCUUUUGUGGGGUGCUCGAGUGGCGAACGGGUGAGUAACACGUGAGUAACCUGCCCUUGACUUUGGGAUAACUUCAGGAAACUGGGGCUAAUACCGGAUAGGAGCUCCUGCUGCAUGGUGGGGGUUGGAAAGUUUCGGCGGUUGGGGAUGGACUCGCGGCUUAUCAGCUUGUUGGUGGGGUAGUGGCUUACCAAGGCUUUGACGGGUAGCCGGCCUGAGAGGGUGACCGGCCACAUUGGGACUGAGAUACGGCCCAGACUCCUACGGGAGGCAGCAGUGGGGAAUAUUGCACAAUGGGCGGAAGCCUGAUGCAGCAACGCCGCGUGCGGGAUGACGGCCUUCGGGUUGUAAACCGCUUUCGCCUGUGACGAAGCGUGAGUGACGGUAAUGGGUAAAGAAGCACCGGCUAACUACGUGCCAGCAGCCGCGGUGAUACGUAGGGUGCGAGCGUUGUCCGGAUUUAUUGGGCGUAAAGGGCUCGUAGGUGGUUGAUCGCGUCGGAAGUGUAAUCUUGGGGCUUAACCCUGAGCGUGCUUUCGAUACGGGUUGACUUGAGGAAGGUAGGGGAGAAUGGAAUUCCUGGUGGAGCGGUGGAAUGCGCAGAUAUCAGGAGGAACACCAGUGGCGAAGGCGGUUCUCUGGGCCUUUCCUGACGCUGAGGAGCGAAAGCGUGGGGAGCGAACAGGCUUAGAUACCCUGGUAGUCCACGCUGUAAACGGUGGGCACUAGGUGUGGGGUCCAUUCCACGGGUUCCGUGCCGUAGCUAACGCUUUAAGUACCCCGCCUGGGGAGUACGGCCGCAAGGCUAAAACUCAAAGGAAUUGACGGGGCCCCGCACAAGCGGCGGAGCAUGCGGAUUAAUUCGAUGCAACGCGUAGAACCUUACCUGGGUUUGACAUGGAUCGGGAGUGCUCAGAGAUGGGUGUGCCUCUUUUGGGGUCGGUUCACAGGUGGUGCAUGGCUGUCGUCAGCUCGUGUCGUGAGAAGUUGGGUUAAGUCCCGCAACGAGCGCAACCCUUGUUCACUGUUGCCAGCACGUUAUGGUGGGGACUCAGUGGAGACCGCCGGGGUCAACUCGGAGGAAGGUGGGGAUGACGUCAAGUCAUCAUGCCCCUUAUGUCCAGGGCUUCACGCAUGCUACAAUGGCUGGUACAGAGAGUGGCGAGCCUGUGAGGGUGAGCGAAUCCCGGAAAGCCGGUCUCAGUUCGGAUUGGGGUCUGCAACUCGACCUCAUGAAGUCGGAGUCGCUAGUAAUCGCAGAUCAGCAACGCUGCGGUGAAUACGUUCCCGGGGCU